AGAGUUUGAUCAUGGCUCAGAAUCAACGCUGGCGGCGUGCCUAACACAUGCAAGUCGAACGAGAAAGUCCCGCAAGGGAUGAGUAAAGUGGCGCACGGGUGAGUAACACGUAGCUAACCUGCCCUCGAGUGGGGGAUAACCUGGGGAAACUCGGGCUAAUACCGCAUAACGUCCUGGUUGCGCGAGCAGCCGGGAUCAAAGGCCCGCAAGGGUCGCUUGGGGAGGGGGCUGCGGCCGAUUAGCUAGUUGGUGAGGUAACGGCUCACCAAGGCUAUGAUCGGUAUCCGGCCUGAGAGGGCGCACGGACACACUGGAACUGAAACACGGUCCAGACUCCUACGGGAGGCAGCAGUGGGGAAUUUUGCGCAAUGGGGGAAACCCUGACGCAGCAACGCCGCGUGGAGGAUGAGGCCCCUUGGGGCGUAAACUCCUUUCGACCAAGACGAUGAUGACGGUACUGGUGGAAGAAGCACCGGCUAACUCUGUGCCAGCAGCCGCGGUAAUACAGAGGGUGCGAGCGUUGUUCGGAAUUAUUGGGCGUAAAGGGCGCGUAGGCGGUGCCACAAGUCACUUGUGAAAUCUCCGGGCUUAACUCGGAGCCUGCAGGCGAAACUGUGGUGCUGGAGUAUGGGAGAGGUGCGUGGAAUUCCCGGUGUAGCGGUGAAAUGCAGAUAUCGGGAGGAACACCUGUGGCGAAAGCGGCGCACUGGACCAUAACUGACGCUGAGGCGCGAAAGCUAGGGGAGCAAACAGGAUUAGAUACCCUAGUAGUCC
rnacentral:rRNA from 1 species